rnacentral:lncRNA from 1 species
GUCUUCUUAGAGAAGGUUGGGAAUUUCAAUUUUCUAGGAUUUUUUAUACUUAAUUUUAGGCUUAAUGUUAUAGGUAGUUUCUGAAUCUUAUCUCGAACUGGCAUCUUCUUUAUGAAUUGAAGAGAUUCUGGUGGCUUUUAUGUGGGGUACCCUAGAGAUGCCUCUUGCUAUUUUCAGAAUUUGCAGAAGUAUUUUUUCUUUCUUUUCUUAUUACUUUCACAAGGAAGAAGUAUGGAAGUGCUUUGGUCAAUUAUAGAGUUGCUUUUACAAAGUCUCCUCAAGAAUUUAUCUACAAAAUGAGGAGAAUGGUCUAAAUGUUCACCCGGGGUUGAGCAUUUCACAUAUGCUUCUUUCUUCCCACCUAUUUUUUUAUUAUAUCUUUAGUCCUUCUAUUCUCUAUUUCACAUAGCCUUCGACCAACCAAUCAAUGUCCGUCAUGUGGCCAACUCCAGGGGCGUGUGGAGAGUCCUUUCAAUUUCAAACUCUCCCCUUUGCUGGCAACACCUUGGCCGCAAUCACGAACAAUUUUCAUAGCCGCAUGAUGAACGAGUGUGAUACGCAGGCAUGUAUGACCUUCAAGACAUGCAAUCGAUUACCAAAAAUGUCCAAUCCCCACGUCCGAAUUCCUUGGUGACGGAUGCCGACCUUUGCCUACAUAAACCACUCUCGGGGACCCUCCAAGUAAGUGCUCUCAAUUCUUCUUAUGCCCUUUUGCUGCCACUCUGUCGCUCUUGCAAUUUCACUGUUUCUUGAGAGUCCAUCUGACUUGAGCGAUGUAGGGUCCCCUGCUGGAUACUUUCUGGCAAGAGAACUCUCUUGUCUUUGUUAUUUCAAGUCGGAUCUGGGAUUUGAGUGAAGGUUCAAGCAUGGUCUCUUCCUCCCAACAUUGGAGGCAUCACCAUCCGAGCAUAGUGGCCACCACAUCAGCACCUUAGAGACAUAUCACGAUCUUCAGCUGACUUUUGCAAUCUAAACAACUGA